GGGGUGGAGCAGCUUGGUAGCUCGUCGGGCUCAUAACCCGAAGGUCGUCGGUUCAAAUCCGGCCCC
rnacentral:tRNA from 2 species